UUUAAAGGCAAUGGAAGGAAAUUAGGCCCAGGCCCUGUAUGAUUCUCCACUUCCUUCUCAGAAGCUCCGGCAGGCAACUUGCCUGGGAGAUACUAAGUUCCCACCAACCUUGGGAAUCAGCUACCUGAUUUCUAAUUCAGGCGGGCUGCAGCCUCCAAUUUCCACAAAAUCUCAUGCUUCUAGUGCACUUCUCUUUGCCUUCCGUCUCCUUGGGUGCCUUCAGUCUCCUCGGUGGAAGCUUUCCACCGAACACCUCCCUCACAGGUGUCCUCUAACACUCAUGACUGGCAGAGCCGAACGAGGGAGGACGACUGUCGCUGUGCCCUGAGCUCAGGGCAAAUCAGGUAGAAGCCUCUCUAAAAAGCAAGUGGACUGAAAAUCGCCUUCCACAAACUAUUGCCAGGCACUCUGGAGGAAGAGUUAACCAGCUGUGUGUCUCAGUGUGUGAAAUGUGAGCAUGUGGUGGUGCAGGAAAGAGGGCAGAACUGUGAUGUCUCUGGACUCCUGAUGGCUCCUGGUGAGUAUCCGGUACCACUCCCAAUGCAGGACCCAGAAACAGCGCCCAGUGUUCCUCCCCUUCCUCACCUGCGUAGAGGGUUCAGUAAAGGCAAAUCACUACCAGGAGGAAAGUGUAUUGGCCCAGCAAAUGCAGGAAAGGGAGGAUCCCGCAAAAGGGAUUUCCACUCAUUGGAAAAUACCUGGAAAAGAAAGAAAUGGACUUUGCUCUCACAUGAGGGAAUGAAAAUGAGAGCUUUUGCAGCCAGAAAGACGAGAGAAGAUACUGCCUCCUACUACCUGUGUGAGCUUGGACACCCUACGGAGAACCAAUUUCUCCAUUUCCUCAUCUAUGAAUGGGAAUAAUUGUAAAUUCCUACCAAUUUCCGUUUCCUCAUCUGUGAAUGGGAAUAAUUAUACUUACAAUUUGCCAUGAGAAUUAAAUGUAAACUACCACACACACGUCAGCAUUUCAUCACCUAGGUUGCCUUUCUCCUGAUUCAGAAUAAUUUUUUUUUUGGCUUAACUCCCUUUUUCUCCAGCUUUAUUGAAGUAUAUAAUGGUCAAA
rnacentral:lncRNA from 1 species